rnacentral:lncRNA from 1 species
GUGACCUUCUACAGCGACUUGGGAAUAGAGCGUGUUCAGGAAGGGUUUGUGCAUUCCCAAGUAACUUUACUGUGCAGAUUGAAAAAAAAAAGAAAAAAGAAAAAAAAGGAUCACAACAAAACUGCAAUAUACUAUUCAGACAUCCCACUCUUCAAUAAAUUGAUGCAUAAAAAUAUUUGGACUCAAAGAUGGUAGAGUUGUGAGAGGGGAAAAGAAGAAAAAAAGGAAUGUCUCAAUAGAAAAUUGAAAGGUAGUUUCCAUUGGCUUUCAAAAAUUUUCUCAGCUUUCUUCUCCCCUGGGUUGUGUGAAGUUUGAUGGUUGCUCCAGUCUGGUGGCUGCCAGACCAGUUGGGUGAGUGAGCUGAUAGCAAGAUUAUCUCACACACUCUUCCAGUUUUCCAACCCAUUGUAGACAGCCCCAUCCCUGUGCACUUCAACUCACUGAGCUGGAGACAGCCCUGUUUUUUUUCCAGUUUCACCAACCUGUGCUCUCCUUGGGGGACUGCUCCUAGUCUUUGGCAUUCUACGGGCUUGCUGGAACCAGACUGGCCCACACAAACCCAGAUGCAAUCUAAUGAACUUGGGCUUCAGAUUCCCUAGGCUCUGACUUGCUGCGGUCCCAAGAUCUCAAUGCCUUUUCAACUUGCAGAGAGACUACCAGGGAUGUGCUCACACAAAGGAGGGACCCUGCAAAGAGGUAGCCAGAUGGCAGCCACUAGCACCACCAGCAGAAAAAUCUCAGGUGCAACCAGACCAGCAGGUACCCCAAUAAUAUAUCUCCAGGCCCUGGCUGGUGUCCCUAAACUGAGGUGGCCAUGCCCUGAGAUGGUGGCAAUGGUGGCGGCAAACCUUCAGGCCUUGGUGGGUAUCCCAAGAUGGCAGGGGACAUGUAACCAAACCUGUGUGUACUGUGACAAUGGACUUCCAGGCAUGAGGAGGUAGUGGGGAGCAGACAAUGUGUAGGCUAAUGGCAGGCGAUUGGUGGGUGAAUAUCAGUUGGUGGGCGAUGAUCAGGCAAGAGGUGGGCAAAUGGCUGAUGAUAGGCAGUGGUCAGUCAGUGAUCUGUGCUCAAAAGGCAGGCAACAUGCUUGUAGAGGGUGGCCAAUUGCAUAGAUGAACGGGGGGGGGGGGCAAACAGUGGGGAAUCAGUGGGCAGCAACGGCUGCCUUGCAAAGAAGCAGUAUUUCCUCUGCUUGAAACCCCAGUCAUGGAGCAACAAGGAUUGCACCCUCCCUCAAAUUCACCAUCUUGGAUCUCCCUCUCUGUUCUUAGUAAUCAGAUGAACAUCAUUUGUAAUGAAACUAAUCAAAAUUGUCACCUAUAGAGGGGAAGAAAAAGUGGCAUUAUGUGGACCUUUGUGGCAGAAAUGCAUAAGCUGAAUUGAAUGAUUAGGCAACAUCCAACAAGCUCAAAGGAAGUGGGCAUUUUAAAAACAUUGGGUCUAGGCUCUUAGAUUGUCAAGGUUAUGGGAGUCAAGGAAAGAUUGAGGAAUUGUUCUAGAUUGAAGUUAACUGAAGAGACAUGACACACAGUUUUACCAUGUGAUUUUGGAUUCUGAAAUGAACUUUCAGUGGAUAUAAAAUAUAUCUGGGAUUUAUUGAUAAAACACCAAAGAGAAUAAGGUUUAGAAAGUCUCAGUUCAUCAUUAUGAAUUUUUUAAUUCUGAUGGCUUGAUUGUUGUUAUAUAGAAAAAUUGUCUUGUUUUUAGGAAAUACAUACUAAAAUAUUUCCAAUUUACCAUGACCUUGACAAUCUAAGAGCCUAGACCCAAGUUUAUAAAACGCCCCUUCCUUUGAGCUUGUUGGAUGUUGCCUAAUUAUUCAAUUCAGCUUAUGCAUUUCUGCCAGAAAAGUCCACAUAAUGACGCAAUGACGCUUUUUCCAUUUCAAAUGUUUCAAACUAAAACAAUUCUGUACAUACUAGAACAUUUUCUAAAUACUUGUGGUUGUUAAAAAAGGAAGCC